rnacentral:rRNA from 1 species
GAUGAACGCUGGCGGCGUGCCUAAUACAUGCAAGUCGAGCGAACAGAUGAGGAGCUUGCUCCUCUGACGUUAGCGGCGGACGGGUGAGUAACACGUGGAUAACCUACCUAUAAGACUGGGAUAACUUCGGGAAACCGGAGCUAAUACCGGAUAAUAUAUUGAACCGCAUGGUUCAAUAGUGAAAGACGGUUUUGCUGUCACUUAUAGAUGGAUCCGCGCCGCAUUAGCUAGUUGGUAAGGUAACGGCUUACCAAGGCAACGAUGCGUAGCCGACCUGAGAGGGUGAUCGGCCACACUGGAACUGAGACACGGUCCAGACUCCUACGGGAGGCAGCAGUAGGGAAUCUUCCGCAAAGGGCGAAAGCCUGACGGAGCAACGCCGCGUGAGUGAUGAAGGUCUUCGGAUCGUAAAACUCUGUUAUUAGGGAAGAACAAAUGUGUAAGUAACCAUGCACGUCUUGACGGUACCUAAUCAGAAAGCCACGGCUAACUACGUG